rnacentral:lncRNA from 1 species
AAAAAGAGUCAUAUAUAGUUUUGAUGAUGUGAAUAAGUACCAGCAAAAAUAAGUACCAAUUUGGGGGAAUUUCAAUACUUUAGUGAAAAUUACAAUAUUGAGAUGGUCAAAUACUUAAUUUUGUUGAAAAUAAUAUAUUUCUAAUAGUUAUCAUACUAUACACACCAACAAAAAAAAAAUCUAAAAGAAAGAACUGUCUUUAAUCAAAUCAGUAU